CUGGCCUUGAGAUCCCGACGGAUGCGGGGCAACGCCCGCAGCCCUUCGGGGCGUCGGAGACAGGUGGCGCAUGGUUGUCGUCAGCUCGUGUCGUGAGAUGUUGGGUCAAGUCCCGCAACGAGCGCAACCCUUGUCCUUAGUAGCCAGCGAGCAAGACGGGCACUCUAGGGAGACUGCCGGGGAUGACCCGGAGGAAGGCGGGGAUGACGUCAAAUCAUCAUGCCCCUUAUGGCCAGGGCUACACACGUGCUACAAUGGCGCCCACAGAGGGAAGCGAACCCGCGAGGGGGAGCAGAACCCAGAAAAGGCGUCCCAGUUCGGAUUGCAGGCUGCAACCCGCCUGCAUGAAGCUGGAAUCGCUAGUAAUCGCGGAUCAGAACGCCGCGGUGAAUGCGUUCCC
rnacentral:rRNA from 1 species